rnacentral:lncRNA from 1 species
CAAAGCUACAUAAUUAUUAAAGAUUGUUUAAUUUCAAAGUAAAAAGAACAGAAAACUCAUACUUACAAAGGUGAAAACAUAAACGUAGUCUCUUACUUCUCUACAAUAGUGCAAUGAGAGGACAUAUUUAAUCCACUAAUUAUAAAUGAGAUUUAUUCUAUACACAUCUUAAAAAGAAUGCCUGACAGAAAAAAAAUUCCAAACCUAAAAAAUAAAUGCUAUUUUUAUUUCUCUUUCAACUCUUCUACAUGUGGUUUUCUUUUUCCACUUUGAUAUUUCUUAUAACCUAUUCUAAGAUAACAGAAAAGGCUUGGAAAUUAAAAUUUGACUCAUAGUAUAGAAUCUAUAUAUAUCUAUAUAUAACCUGUGUGACAGGCUGCUAAGCCCCUGAGAAUAGUAUCAGCAAGACCAAAGAUCAAGAGUGUGUAAAGGGGCAAAGCUAAACAAGGAUGGAAUUUAAAUAUUGGAAAAUAAGAUAUGAAUGUGUUAGUUUCUUAUGACUGCUCUCAAUUUACUGAGACUUGGUGGCUUGAAACAACCCUAAUUUCUUAUUGUACAGUUCUGAGGGUCAGAGGCUCGAAAUUGGUCUCGUUGGGUUGAAAUCAUCAUGUUGCCGGGGCUGUAUGUCUUCUAAAGGCUCUAAUGUAGAAUCUGUUCCUUUGCCUUUUCCAGCUUCUAGACAAUGCUGGCGUCCAAUGGCUUGAGGUCCCAUUCCUUCACUUGUAAAGCCAGCAACGUCUGGUCAAGUAUUUCUCCCACUGCAAUCUCUCUGGAUCUCUCUCUCUCUCUUGCCUCCCUCUUCCAUUUAUAAAGACCCUGGUGAUUACAGUGAACCCACUCAGAUAAUCUAAGAUAAUAUCCCAUUUCAGCAUAAAUUGAUUAGCAUUGAUAAUUCUAUCUGCAACCUUAAUUUCUCUUGGCCAUAUACCUAAAAUAUUUACAUGUUCCAGGAAUUAGGAUGUGGACAUCUUUGGGGGGAUGUUAUUGUGCCUAACAUUCCGGACUUUGGGCCUCAAAGAUUCAUAUCCAUCCCACUUACAAAAUGCAUUUACCCCAUUCUAAGACCACCCCCACCAGAUCUCAAAGAAUUACAGCAUCAACUCAGGUCCAAAAUGUCGUGUAAAUCUCAUCUGCUCAGAAGUCCAAGAUUUCAUCAUCUAAAGAAUCUAAAACAAGUAUGAGAGAGGCUCUGAAUAUAUAUGCUUGUAUUUUCUUUUGCAAGUUUUGUAAUUUUAUCUUUUACAUUUAAGUCUUUCAUCCAUUUUGAGUUUAAACAAUGUGAUAUAGCGUCCCAACUUCAUUCUACUUCAUGUGGAUAUCCAGUUGUCCUAACAUCAUUUGUUAAAAGACUGUUUAUUCCCCAAUGAAUUGUCUUGGCACUGUUGUCAAAAAUCAGUUGACCAUGAGUGUUUGACCGUUUGAAAAUAAAAUACAAUUUUAAAUGUGAAAUAUCUGGAAGCCAACGAAGUAGAAUAGCU